GACUCAAAGGCUUUGAGUCAAGAUCAAAGAGUAAAGCUUCAAAUCUUAUUCUCGAUGCAUUUUUUUGAUUUGAAUCAAAGUAAUUAUUCAAUUCUUUUGAUUUGUGAAGUUCAACUACGAUUAAAGUUGUUUGUUGAAAUUAACAUUAUCUAAUUAAUGGUUUGUUCAAGAUAAUUGUUAAAAUUAAAUGUUUGUUAAAAAAGAGGCAAACUAUUUAUGCUUUUGGUUAAUUUGUGGUUAACAUGUGAUGCCUUUGUUUGGCCAUUUUAUGCUUUCAUUUCAUGUGUCUUGCUUAUCUGUAUUGAAUUCAGAUCAACAAUAAUCAACCUAUUUUCAGGUCAACAUUUUCCCUUUCAUUGGAUUUUCAUCAACUUACCUUUUGUCAUUUUCUGUGUUAGUCUUGAUCUGACCAAUUUGUUUGAUUUGUUCAAUCCGGUUGUAAAAGUUCGCUUUAAUGGUUUAUAAUUGGUUCAAAUUAAUCACUUUCUAUUAUCACCAUUAUUUGGAAGGAUUGAAAUUCGAUUAAAGCAAUGGUUUGCUUGAUUGAUCUUCAACUUGGUGUGAUAACAAUAAUGUCUGACCAGUGCUGAUACAACUACAUGAUUUUGGCUCUAUUUUUGAUCAUAAAAUGUCUGUUUAGCCAUCUUCAUCAUCGCCAGUCCUAGUAUUGCUGUUAACCAAGGAUUCCAUCACUUUCAAGUUUCCCUGGUUUUUAAUGGAACAUCAAUGAAGCACUUUUAUUCAAUCAACUUUGAUAUUUAAUCAACAACCCAAGCAGCCUUUGAAAUUGGUUAAUGUAAACCCAACAACAAUCACCAGUCUUUACUUGAUUAAAACUGGGAUUCCAGGAUUGUGCACUUAACUAUCUCUUCUCGUGUCACCUCAAUAUUCACAAUUCACUGGUUAAAAUUUCUUGUAAUCACAUUAAUUAUGUUUCAAAGGCAGGCUAAAUUAAUUUCAAGUCUUUAGACAAAUUAAAAGUAUAAGCUUCUUUGAUUAGACAAGAAAAACAAGCAAACAAUUUAACCAGUAAAUUGUAAUGAAAUCAUUCACCAUAAAACUGGUGCAACUUGAUUGACGUUAACAACGAGAAAAGUCAAUCUUUAUAUAGACCGUAACACAAACAGCUUGGGCUAACCUUUAACAUCCAGUUGACCUCUAAGGCCUCUAAUGACCAUAACAAGAGCUAUUUUUAAAACGAAGAGUUAAACAAAUUUCAAAAGGCCAGCAUUUAAAUUUUGGCAAAUCAAUGGGCAAACCAGAAGUUACCCAAAAACAACCAACUCAAAGCUUCCCCAAUCAAUUCCAACCUUGACGCCGAUUGUUUUUCACACAAUUAAAAUUGAUUAUGUUGAUUCAAUGAAACCAUAUGGUUUAACAUUGUCUAGUCAACAACAUUCUUCCGGGUAAAUCAAAUUUCCUUUUACAUUGAAAACCCAAUUUUUACCCAAAACCAACACUCACAUCUUUAACAAGAGUUGUUAACCUUUGUGAUUACAAUUAAUUGAACCUUGAUGUUAAUUAAACUAGAACAGUAGUUGAAACAA